CCCUCGGUCCACCCCCUCCGCGCGCUCGCCCACCCCGCCCAGCCCGGAUCUCUGUCAGCGGCCGGAAGGGAAACGCGAAGCCAGCGCGGCCGCGGGGGGAGUCCGGAACUCAAAUAUUCUCUGGUGGCAGUGGAGAAACCCUAAUCUCAGGAAGGAACGUCCAGGGGAAUAUUUGUGAUUCAUUUAAAAUCAACAAUCAUGGUAAUCUGGUUUCUCUUGUACUGGCCAUAUAAUUCAAUUCUUGCUGAUGAAAUGUAAGCAGAAAUCUGCAGGGUGGGUCUUAUGGGAAGAAUUGUCCUUUCCUAAUAAAAUAAGGCACAAAUAUUCAA